GCGGGCGUGGCGGAACUGGUAGACGCAGCAGGUUUAGGUCCUGCCAUCGAAAGAUGUGGGGGUUCGAGUCCCUUCGCCCGCACCA
rnacentral:tRNA from 3 species